rnacentral:rRNA from 1 species
GCGUCGAGCGGCGGACGGGUGAGUAAUGCCUAGGAAAUUGCCCUGAUGUGGGGGAUAACCAUUGGAAACGAUGGCUAAUACCGCAUAAUGCCUACGGGCCAAAGAGGGGGACCUUCGGGCCUCUCGCGUCAGGAUAUGCCUAGGUGGGAUUAGCUAGUUGGUGAGGUAAGGGCUCACCAAGGCGACGAUCCCUAGCUGGUCUGAGAGGAUGAUCAGCCACACUGGAACUGAGACACGGUCCAGACUCCUACGGGAGGCAGCAGUGGGGAAUAUUGCACAAUGGGCGCAAGCCUGAUGCAGCCAUGCCGCGUGUGUGAAGAAGGCCUUCGGGUUGUAAAGCACUUUCAGUCGUGAGGAAGGUGGUGUAGUUAAUAGCUGCAUUAUUUGACGUUAGCGACAGAAGAAGCACCGGCUAACUCCGUGCCAGCAGCCGCGGUAAUACGGAGGGUGCGAGCGUUAAUCGGAAUUACUGGGCGUAAAGCGCAUGCAGGUGGUUUGUUAAGUCAGAUGUGAAAGCCCGGGGCUCAACCUCGGAAUAGCAUUUGAAACUGGCAGACUAGAGUACUGUAGAGGGGGGUAGAAUUUCAGGUGUAGCGGUGAAAUGCGUAGAGAUCUGAAGGAAUACCGGUGGCGAAGGCGGCCCCCUGGACAGAUACUGACACUCAGAUGCGAAAGCGUGGGGAGCAAACAGGAUUAGAUACCCUGGUAGUCCACGCCGUAAACGAUGUCUACUUGGAGGUUGUGGCCUUGAGCCGUGGCUUUCGGAGCUAACGCGUUAAGUAGACCGCCUGGGGAGUACGGUCGCAAGAUUAAAACUCAAAUGAAUUGACGGGGGCCCGCACAAGCGGUGGAGCAUGUGGUUUAAUUCGAUGCAACGCGAAGAACCUUACCUACUCUUGACAUCCAGAGAACUUUCCAGAGAUGGAUUGGUGCCUUCGGGAACUCUGAGACAGGUGCUGCAUGGCUGUCGUCAGCUCGUGUUGUGAAAUGUUGGGUUAAGUCCCGCAACGAGCGCAACCCUUAUCCUUGUUUGCCAGCGAGUAAUGUCGGGAACUCCAGGGAGACUGCCGGUGAUAAACCGGAGGAAGGUGGGGACGACGUCAAGUCAUCAUGGCCCUUACGAGUAGGGCUACACACGUGCUACAAUGGCGCAUACAGAGGGCGGCCAACUUGCGAAAGUGAGCGAAUCCCAAAAAGUGCGUCGUAGUCCGGAUUGGAGUCUGCAACUCGACUCCAUGAAGUCGGAAUCGCUAGUAAUCGUGGAUCAGAAUGCCACGGUGAAUACGUUCCCGGGCCUU